rnacentral:tRNA from 1 species
UCCCUGGUGGUCCAGUGGCUGAGACUCUACGCUCCCAAUGCAGGGGGCCAGGGUUCAAUCCCUGGUCAGGGAA